CAGAUCUUCAGAAUCAGAAUGUAUACAGAACUGAAAGAAACCAGGCCCUUCAAAAGAAUAAAUAACCCUUUCAACAAAUGGGCAAAUGAACUCAUAUUAGACACUUUCCAAAUGAAACAAUAAAACUAAUUCAUAAACAUAUGGAAACAAUUUUCAGCGUCUUUAGCUACCAGGGAAAUACAAAUUAAGAAGAGUACAAUGAGAUUACUUUUCAUGGCAGUCAAAGUUAUAGUCAUCAAAAAAAAAAAAACCCGCAACCAAACCAAAGCAAAAUGAAAAACAAUGACUACUGGUAAAGAUACAAAGAAAGGGACCUGCUACAUGGUUGAGAUUGCACGUAGAACAGCAACAGUAAAAAAAAAAUAUGCAUGGAGAUUUCUCAAAAAUUAAAAAUGGUACCACUGUGUGAUGCGCAAAGAGACUGAAGUCAGUAUACCACAGAAAUACUCAUACACCCGUGUUUAUUAUGGAACUAUUUACAAUACCCAAGUUACGGAUCAGCUAAGAUACAGGAAUUUGGAGACUUGGUACCCAGUGGGUGGCGCUGUUUGGAAGAGGUUGUAGAGCCUUUAGGAGGUGGAGCUUUGCUAGCGGAGGAGGUAUCCCUGAGGGCGCGGUUUGAGAGAGUUGCCUCCGUUUUCGGUAGGCAGUGGAAGAUGUGAGCUCUCAGCUUCCUGCUCUGACUGCCCGCUGCCAUGGUUUCCUUGCCAUUAUGGACUCCUUUACUGGGACUGUUAACGAACUCUUUCUUCUCUAAGUUGGUCUGCGUCAGUACGAUGACACUGUACUUUGUGGAGGAAGCUGACACUAGAUGAAAGAGAUCAAAUCUUCCCCUAAAGACUGCCCGAAUGCCAUCAGUGCAAGAGGCCAGGAAUAUCACGGGACACAACCUUUCUUUCCCUCAUAGACUACACAAACACAGAUCUGUCUGAUGGAGGUAGCAUUCCUCCGAAGAGAUGACAAAUGGAAAUUCUAGAGAAGUCUGGCCGGAUCGGCGUGUAAAGCAGUCCGCACCUAUGAACGAAAUCCGACUGAAGCGUAAACUUGCCAGAGGCAGUGAACAACCAGCUGGCUCCAGCUUCACCCACAACCGGUCCUACAGGUGCCAGGUUGCAUUGGAAAAGGACAUGGCAUAACAGAUCCACAUCAGAAUGUCCUUUCAAAAGUGAUUGGUGAGAUGGAUGAGUGCCGUUUCCUGAUGACAAAUGAAGCAGACACUGAGGUCAGUCACCAGAAGCUUCUUACACGGAGGAAGAACGGCAGGCUACUCGGUGUGUGGGCAGAGAAGUCUGGGGUGAAUGUUAGGACAGAAUAGCAGCAGGCUACCCCGAAGGCAGGGUAAAUUAUUAAUUUAUUGGUCAUAAUUUAUUAAAUUUAUUCACCUUUGUUUUUGUUUGUUUAAAAAAUACAUCUGUGUUAAUAAAUUGGUUUAUACCUUUA